rnacentral:rRNA from 1 species
CACCGCCCGUCGCUCCUACCGAUUGAAUGAUCCGGUGAAAUGUUUGAAUCACAGCGACGUGGGAGGUUCGCUGCCCGCAACGUCGCGAGAAGUCCAUUGAACCUUAUCAUUUAGAGGAAGGAGAAGUCGUAACAAGGUUUCCGUAGGUGAACCUGCGGAAG